UAGUGCUAGGACAUUAGAGAGCUUUAAGAGAAGAUUAGACGGGUUUAUGGAUGGGGAUGAUAGCUGGAAAUAGGUAGGUAUAUUUCAUACAGGGUACUGCCACGUGUAAGCCUGGUGGCUCCUUGUAGCUUCCCUUAUUUCUUGUUCUUAUGUUCUUGAAACCAUCUAAUAUCUUUAGUAUUCAGCACUUACCUACAUAUACCUAAAUAUAAUUAAUUGUCCUCAUGUUACCAUUAGAAACCAUUUGACAUCAAUAAGGAAACAAUUUGAGGUGAUAAAACAGAUACAAGCAUGAACAUAUAUUCAUUGUCUUCAUUACGGGAACCAAUCUACCACCUGACAAUCUAUUACAUGAUUAUAACCAACCAUCUAAGAAAUAUUGGAUAUCACAAGGAAAUCAGUAUUAUAAGUAACGCUGGAAGAGGCAAAAUAACGCUACAUGCCCACGCGUGCCCACGUUAACAAACCACCAGGUGUUAAAAUUCCUUAGCAUUGUUAUUGUCAGACGAAAUAUAAUAAGAUUAAAAAGUAUAAAAAUAGAUAAAAUAUAAAAUAAAUUAAAUCUCACAUGUCAGUUUGUUUGAAAAAAUAAAUAAAUAAAAAUAAAAAGUAUUGUAACAUGUCAAUCAUAGAAAUGUCAAACCGUGGAAAAGGAGAAACACCGCCGCUGCGCCGCACAACGCGGCGCUCCCACUGCUGCGUGGUUGGUGGUUGCCUCGUGUAGCCCUUGCCCCGCUUGUGAAAUCCAGUUGGAUCUACUUUGCCUAUGCUGCAAAAACAAGAGGAUGAAGGGAGAGAGAACAAGGAAGAGGAACACAAUACCUCAAAGACUGUCUGGAGAGAAAAACUGCCGCAACAGAACCAGAAAAUUUAAUAAAAAUAAAUGCAAUAGAAAUUACAGGAAAGUCUUAAAUGAGCUCUUAGGGCGCAUUCACAUGGUCAAACACUGUCUAUCAGACAAACACCGUUAACCAUAUCGCAAGAUGAAGUAGGAUGACAUCAUAAGUGUUGAAAUGAGGGAGGUUGAUAUGGCAACAAAGUGGUACCAGAUUAAAUUGUACACCAUAAUUUCUAUUCCAUUCACCAGGCAAAGACCAGCGGACAAUCUUCGAAGCUGGUGUCCACUGGCAACACAGGUAUUUAAAGUCAGUGUUAGUUUGGGCUCGAGAGACAGGUGGUUGCUGCUGGUGUGGUACAUCAUAACCGUGGUGUACAAUAAGAUAAACAAAACCAUGUUGACAGGGCAGGAGACCCAAUCAAUUAAUAGCUUCAGUUCGUCUGAUAAAUAAGUAAAUUCAUCCUGUGCCUGGUAAGGUCGUAUUUCCACGUCUCUGUCCCACCAGACAGUGUCUAAGGUUCUGAAACUAUGAAUGUGGGGUGCUCGCUACUGACGUCAUGAGAGCUCCAUUCUGCUUCCCAUUGUUAACUGGUAAAGUCCUUUCCACACAAGGGGCAAAUGCACAGCAGGCAGACACUGUUACCAAUUUUGUGGUAUGGGUGGCGAUCAUGAGUGUAGAUGAUACCAUAGAUGGGGAACCACAGGCAAACCAUCUAAGUGCCUGUCCUUGUUGUUGAGGCACUGGAUGGGUGCCUGACUAGGGACCACGUUGCCUGACACACGAUGUUACAAGUCAACAUUAUGCCCUCCAUGGGUAUCUAUCAAUUGUAGACCAGAUGGAGUGAAAUCAUGUCUGUACAAAUGGUCAUGGUUAAGUGGGUAAGGGAAGCAAUCAGGCAUUUGAUAGAUUUGUACAGAGAGGAACCGUGUCUGUGGAAUGUCAAGACUGUGGAAUAUAGAAAUAGAGACAGAAAGGCCACAACACUGCAGAAAAUAGCAGAACACAUGAACAGUGGUGGUUGGUCAUUCUCUGCUGAAGAUGUGAGAAAGAAGAUUGAUACACUGCGAAACCAGCAUCAGUGAGAACGUAGGCAUGUGCAACAAUCAGUGAAGAUGGGGGCAGGGGCAAACAAGGAGCAAGAAGCUUUUUGUGGAGCAUAAAUUCUUCCAAGAUAUGAUACAAAUGACAAGAAUUUGUUGUAAGAACCGUUAGUGUUCAUAUUCUGGAAUUCAAAGUCCCAGUCAAUAGUAGACAAGAAUUGGUUAAUUUGUUUGAAAUUAGCCUUGGGGAUUCAGAUUCAAUAUUUGACAUCAAAAGUUUGAACUGAAAAAUAUAGCCAAAAAGUAUAACACAGUGAUCACAAUUUGGAAAUGGAGGAAGAACAUUAGAGGAAACUACUCUAUCAGUUUCUGUGGUAAAAAAUAGAUCUAGAGUACUGCUUGCCCUGAUAUUUGUUGGCUCAUGAAUCCACUGAGUAAGGCCUAGAGAGAUAAAACAAUCCAGGAAAAGCUUAUCAGUAUGAGAUACUGCAUUAAUACUUACUCCUCCAAGUGACCAAGAAAUUGAAGGAAGAUUAAAAUCCCUCAUCACUAUUACUUCCCUGUUAGUGCAAAAAUCUGCUAGGAAAUCUGUAAGUGCAUUGUUGUCAUAGAAGGAGUAGGAGGGAGGUCUACAAACAACUACAAUGAAUAAUUUGUAAUCUGGAAGAAAAACUGAGCAAACAUUAGGUAUUUUGAUGUUCAUAUUGAGACACCAGUAGGAAUUAUGUACAUAAGUGCCAACUCCAUGUUUGCAAACUGAACCAGAAACAUAAUUUCUUAAUAUAUUGUAGUUAUGAAUUGAAACUGCACCAACUGGGAAAGAACUAAUUAACCAUGCUGCCUGCUGGAUUCAUACCUACUGGGUGGUGAUUGUAACUAUAAUACUGCUAAUAAGGGCUGUGUCAGGCCACAGAGGCCACAUGGCACUACAUAUGUUUAGAAUACAGUGACACUGAGGCUGUAGUUGAUCGAUUUAAUUUAUGGUGCCGCAACAUCACGGUCAUAUGGCGUGAUGCUGUAGUUAUAUUUUAUACCAAGUGAAGAGUAUGGGUGAGGGAUAGAAAGAGCAUUAAGUUUGGUAGAGCGAAACAAAGAAACACAGGAAGUCAGUAAGAUAUCAGAAAGAUAAAGGAUGGGUGACGAGAGGGAUGGUAGUGGGGGCAGAAGUGGUGGUGUGAGAGACUAUGGGAAACAAAUUCACUCACUCAAACACACAACAACAAUAACAACCAGGCAGGAACAGUGACAGGGCAGGUGGUGAGCUGCAGUAGGCUCGCUCGUCACCCCACACACCCAUGCUUCCACACUUCCCCUCCACACACAUGAAUAAUCUCAUUACACAAACUUAUCUAUCAUUUACCACUUAUCUAUGCAAAAAUCAGUCCAAUAGUGUGUUCGUUACUCCUGGAAAACACUAAAUUACGCUAAAUAUUGAUGGAGACACACUGGAAAGUCUGAUGACGUCAUGCCAGCUGAUGCGGUCACACGAACCGUUAUACAUGUCCGUUGU